UACGUAGGUGGCAAGCGUUGCCCGGAAUUAUUGGGCGUAAAGCGCGCGCAGGCGGCCUCUUAAGUCUGAUGUGAAAGCCCCCGGCUCAACCGGGGAGGGCCAUUGGAAACUGGGAGGCUUGAGUAUAGGAGAGAAGAGUGGAAUUCCACGUGUAGCGGUGAAAUGCGUAGAGAUGUGGAGGAACACCAGUGGCGAAGGCGACUCUUUGGCCUAUAACUGACGCUGAGGCGCGAAAGCGUGGGGAGCAAACAGG
rnacentral:rRNA from 1 species